GAAGGGGGCUAGCGUUGCUCGGAAUCACUGGGCGUAAAGGGUGCGUAGGCGGGUUCUUAAGUCAGAGGUGAAAUCCUGGAGCUCAACUCCAGAACUGCCUUUGAUACUGAGAGUCUUGAGUUCGGGAGAGGUGAGUGGAACUGCGAGUGUAGAGGUGAAAUUCGUAGAUAUUCGCAAGAACACCAGUGGCGAAGGCGGCUCACUGGCCCGAUACUGACGCUGAUGCACGAAAGCGUGGGGAGCAAACAGG
rnacentral:rRNA from 1 species